rnacentral:tRNA from 1 species
GAGAAAGGCCAGAGGCAAUAAGCACUGCUAAUUCUUACCCCCGCGGUUAAAUUCCGUGGCUUUCUCGC